AUCAGCGUGGCGCAAUGAUUUGAGUGUUGGACUAUGACUCUGGAGACCAGGGUUCGAUUCCCAGCUCAGCCG